GAUGAAGAACGUAGCGAAAUGCGAUAAGUAGUGUGAAUUGCAGAAUUCAGUGAAUCAUCGAAUCUUUGAACGCACAUUGCGCCCCUUGGUACUCCAUGGGGCAUGCCUGUUCGAGCGUCAUUUGUACCUUCAAGCUUUGCUUGGUGUUGGGUGUUUGUCUCGCCUUUGCGUGUAGACUCGCCUUAAAAUAAUUGGCAGCCGGCGUAUUGAUUUCGGAGCGCAGUACAUCUCGCGCUUUGCACUCAUAACGACAGCGUCCAAAAGUACAUUUUACACUCUUGACCUCGGAUCAGGUAGGGAUACCCGCUGAACUUAAGCAUAUCAAUAAGCGGAGGA
rnacentral:misc_RNA from 1 species